AUUGAACGCUGGCGGCAUGCUUUACACAUGCAAGUCGAACGGCAGCGCGAGCUUCGGCCUGGCGGCGAGUGGCGAACGGGUGAGUAAUGCAUCUGAACGUGCCCAGUAGUGGGGGAUAGCCCGGCGAAAGCCGGAUUAAUACCGCAUACGACCUGAGGGUGAAAGCGGGGGACCGAAAGGCCUCGCGCUAUUGGAGCGGCCGAUGUCGGAUUAGCUAGUUGGUUGGGUAAAGGCUUACCAAGGCGACGAUCCGUAGCUGGUCUGAGAGGACGACCAGCCACACUGGGACUGAGACACGGCCCAGACUCCUACGGGAGGCAGCAGUGGGGAAUUUUAGACAAUGGGGGCAACCCUGAUCCAGCCAUGCCGCGUGCGGGAAGAAGGCCUUCGGGUUGUAAACCGCUUUUGUUCGGGAAGAAAUCCUCUGGGCUAAUACCCCGGGGGGAUGACGGUACCGGAAGAAUAAGCACCGGCUAACUACGUG
rnacentral:rRNA from 1 species